AUUAGCACUGAGAAUGGCCGCUCGGAGUGCUCGCCCUCAGCGUCCAGGCCGUUAUUAAUACUGAGAAUGGCCGCUCGGAGUGCUCGCCCUCAGCGUCCAGGCCAUUAUUAGCACUGAGAAUGGCCGCUCGGAGAGCUCGCCCUCAGCGUCCAGGCCAUUAUUAGCGCCGAGAAUGGCCGCUCGGAGUGCUCGCCCUCAGCGUCCAGGCCAUUAUUAGCACUGAGAAUGGCCGCUCGGAGUGCUCAGCGUCCAGGCCAUUAUUAGCACUGAGAAUGGCGGCUCGGAGAGCUCGCCCUCAGCGUCCAGGCCAUUAUUAGCGCCGAGAAUGGCCGCUCGGAGUGCUCGCCCUCAGCGUCCAGGCCAUUAUUAGCACUGAGAAUGGCCGCUCGGAGUGCUCAGUGUCCAGGCCAUUAUUAGCACUGAGAAUGGCCGCUCGGAGUGCUCGCCCUCAGCGUCCAGGCCAUUAUUAGCACUGAGAAUGGCCGCUCGGAGUGCUCACCCUCAGCGUCCAGGCCCUUAUUAACACUGAGAAUGGCUGCUCAGGUACCGACGCCCCAAGUAUCCAGGCCCUUAUUAACACUGAGAAUGGCUGCUCGGGUAACGACGCCCCAAGUAUCCAGGCCCUUAUUAACACUGAGAAUGGCUGCUCGGGUACCGAUGCCCCAAGUAUCCAGGCCCUUAUUAACACUGAGAAUGGCUGCUCGGGUAACGAUGCCCCAAGUAUCCAGGCCCUUAUUAACACUGAGAAUGGCUGCUCGGUUACCAAUGCCCCAAGUAUCCAGGCCCUUAUUAACACUGAGAAUGGCUGCUCGGGUAACGAUGCCCCAAGUAUCCAGUGGAUUACUGCAUAGGUCGAUACAAUGUCUCCCUGAAUAUCUGCCAGUGUAUCUGGCUUCCUGCGAUCCCCCCUCCAUAGGUAAAUAUCGAGAGUUGUUCUAUCAAGGCGACGUGC